GGUGAGCUGGCCAGUUAAGUGAAUGCUUUGCCACAGUCUUAGAAAUUGAUUAAGCUGGGCGAAGGUUCACUUAACCUGGACGCUAUAACCGCA
rnacentral:pre_miRNA from 17 species